GAUGAAGAACGUAGCGAAAUGCGAUACGUAAUGUGAAUUGCAAAUUCAGUGAAUCAUCGAGUCUUUGAACGCACAUUGCGCCCCCUGGUAUUCCGGGGGGCAUGCCUGUCCGAGCGUCAUUGCUGCCCUCAAGCACGGCUUGUGUGUUGGGCCCCGUCCUCCGAUCCCGGGGGACGGGCCCGAAAGGCAGCGGCGGCACCGCGUCCGGUCCUCGAGCGUAUGGGGCUUUGUCACCCGCUCUGUAGGCCCGGCCGGCGCUUGCCGAUCAACCCAAAUUUUUAUCCAGGUUGACCUCGGAUCAGGUAGGGAUACCCGCUGAACUCAAGCAUAUCAAUAAGCGGAGGA
rnacentral:misc_RNA from 1 species